rnacentral:rRNA from 1 species
AAAGUGGCGAACGGCUGAGUAACACGUGGGCAACCUGCCCUUUGCACUGGGAUAGCCUCGGGAAACCGAGGUUAAUACCGGAUACUCCAUAUUUGUCGCAUGGCGAAUAUGGGAAAGCUCCGGCGGCAAAGGAUGGGCCCGCGGCCUGUUAGCUAGUUGGUGGGGUAGUGGCCUACCAAGGCAAUGAUGGGUAGCCGGGUUGAGAGACCGACCGGCCAGAUUGGGACUGAGACACGGCCCAGACUCCUACGGGAGGCAGCAGCU